rnacentral:rRNA from 1 species
GACGAACGCUGGCGGCGUGCUUAACACAUGCAAGUCGAACGGGUCUGCCCUGUUUUUUGCGGGGUGGGUCAGUGGCGAACGGGUGAGUAACACGUGAGUAACCUGCCCCUCACUUCUGGAUAACCGCUUGAAAGGGUGGCUAAUACGGGGUGUUCUGGCUGUGCCGCAUGGUGUGGCUGGGAAAGAUUCACUUUUGUGGUGUUUUGGUGGGGGAUGGGCUCGCGGCCUAUCAGCUUGUUGGUGGGGUGAUGGCCUGCCAAGGCUUUGACGGGUAGCCGGCCUGAGAGGGUGGGCGGUCACACUGGGACUGAGAUACGGCCCAGACUCCUGCGGGAGGCAGCAGUGGGGGGUAUCGCACAAUGGGCGGAAGCCUGAUGCAGCGACGUCGCGUGAGGGAUGGAGGCCUUCGGGUUGUGAACCUCUUUCGCCGGUGAAGAAGGUCCUGCUCUUUGUGGUGGGGUUGACGGUAGCCGGGUUAUGAAGCGCCGGCUAACUACGUG